GUGAAUCAUCGAAUUUUUGAACGCAGAUUGCGCUUCCUGGCAUCCCGGGAAGUAUGCCUGUUUGAGGGUCAUUAUUAAUAAAAAAUCGGGUUGGUUGCAAAUUGUGACGGUUCCGGAGUUGGGGCUAUCUUAACUUGUUUGGUUAAGGUGCUUAAAAUUGACCUGUAUUUCGUAUUUUUAGACGUACAUAAAUUUUUUUUGUAUGCGUCUAUUCGUAAUUCCAAAAUCUUAUUUGAUGUGAUGACAGCGUGUGGUUUCGUGUC
rnacentral:misc_RNA from 1 species